GUGAAGAAAAAGAUGUCACAAAGCUGAUGGAAAAUGGGUCGGCACUCGGCUGUAUUUCAACACGGAGGACGUCUGGCAGCAGCAAAAAGAAAUUCAAUUGACGAUACUCAACUGUCGAAGUGAAGAAGAAGUUGUCACAAAGCUGAUGGAAAAUGUGUCGGCACUUGGCUGUAUUUCAACACGAAGGACGUCUGGCAGCAGCAAAAAGAAAUUCAACUGACGAUAAUCAAUUGUUGGAGUGAAGAAGAAGAUGUCACAAAGCUGAUGGGAAAUGUGUCGGCACUCGUCUUCGUUUCAACCCGGAGGAAGAUUGGCAGCAUCAAUAAGAAGCUCAUCUUUAUGUCAACUGUUGAAAGGAUUUGUUUGCAUUAUAUUAUAAGUUUAAAUUACAUUUAAUCUGCAUAUUAGUUGAAGUUUUAUAGGAACAGAACAUUUAACUGGAUCAUGGACUAUCCACCGACGAAGGAAGAAUUUGUCAUUGAUCUGAUGGAAAAUGUGUCGGCACUCGGCUUCGUUUCAACCAGGAUGAAGAUUUGCAGCAUCAAAAAGAAAUUUAACUGACGAUAAUCAACUG